rnacentral:lncRNA from 14 species
AUUCAAGGCCCGCCUGGACAAGUUCCUGUGUGAUGUACUCUAGGUUUCCCUGCUCUUGCAGGGGAGUUGGAUGAGAUGAUCUUUCGAGGUCCCUUCCAACCCUUGGGAUUCUGGGAUUCUGUGAUAUACUAGCUCCUUACUUCUUGUUCUUUUGAUGAUCAGCUGUGAGCAGUCAUCAUUUGGAGAUCUGGGCUGGCACUGGAAACCACGAAGCCCCAUCAAGUUCUGCUACCAACUUAUUUGAGUUGAUUGAAGAAACUGAGAGGAAAACGGUUAACUUCUGUGAAUUCUGGAUUUCACUGUCUGAUUCACCAGUCCCUAAGGGACAUAGAGCCAGAACCUGGAACUGACACCAAGAUGGACAUGGAGAUGCUUCAGGCAGUCAGCAUGAUCUCGCAUGACAUCCAAAGAAUGCAAGCUACAAAAGGAUCAGCACCUCAAGGAAUUCUAAGGCAUUGCAAGAGACAGCUUCCUUGGUUAGACAAAUCCAAACAUGGAAAUCAACUUUUUGCAAGCAUCAGGAUAAGUGGAACGUGCCCUGGGUGUGGAAUCACCGAGUGACCUCAG